GCGGGUGAUGGAUGGGUACGUUUCGACGACGCUAAUACCGCAUACGUCCUACGGGAGAAAGCAGGGGACCUUCGGGCUUGCGCUAUCAGAUGAGCCUAGGUCGGAUUAGCUAGUUGGUGAGGUAAAGGCCUACCAAGGCGACGAUCCGUAACUGGUCUGAGAGGAUGAUCAGUCACACUGGAACUGAGACACGGUCCAGACUCCUACGGGAGGCAGCAGUGGGGAAUAUUGGACAAUGGGCGAAAGCCUGAUCCAGCCAUGCCGCGUGUGUGAAGAAGGUCUUCGGAUUGUAAAGCACUUUAAGUUGGGAGGAAGGGCAGUAAGUUAAUACCUUGCUGUUUUGACGUUACCGACAGAAUAAGCACCGGCUAACUCUGUGCCAGCAGCCGCGGUAAUACAGAGGGUGCAAGCGUUAAUCGGAAUUACUGGGCGUAAAGCGCGCGUAGGUGGUUUGUUAAGUUGGAUGUGAAAGCCCCGGGCUCAACCUGGGAACUGCAUCCAAAACUGGCAAGCUAGAGUACGGUAGAGGGUGGUGGAAUUUCCUGUGUAGCGGUGAAAUGCGUAGAUAUAGGAAGGAACACCAGUGA
rnacentral:rRNA from 1 species